rnacentral:lncRNA from 1 species
UUGAACAUAGGUUGAAUUAGUAAACCUAGAGUCGAGAUCUAGGUAAAAGAACAAAACUUAGUGUAAAUGAACCUAGGUUAUGAUAUAUAGAGACACUUAGUAAAAUUAAACUAAGUUAUGAAUUAUAGUGGUAAUGGGACCACUAGAAAGUGAGUGGUAUAGACCUAGAAAGGUCGUCGACAUAGGGUAAAAGAGUAAACCCUUGGUUAAUGUGAUAUGGAUUCCGGAAUCCCAAGGCUAAAUGGAUACACCCAAAGUGGUGUCGGGUGUGUGCGACGAUUUCGCCGCCCAGGGGCUAGAGAACCAUCGUCGUGGCGUGUGCGACGAUUUCGCCGUCGGAUGGUUAGCCAGUUUGUGGAUCCUACCGCCUGUUGACUGAACCACUGUCGUGGCGUGUGCGACGAUUUCGCCGCCGGGUGGCUAAGUCAUAGACCUAGGCCGUUGUUGGGUGAGGUGCGAUCCGUUCACCGCCAGACGGCUAGGACAGGAGUACGGUGAGCUGUUGCCAGCUGAGGUGCAUGUGAGAGUUCCUUCACCUCGAGCUAGACAGUGCGCGGACU